UACGUAGGGUGCGAGCGUUAAUCGGAAUUACUGGGCGUAAAGCGUGCGCAGGCGGUUAUGUAAGACAGUUGUGAAAUCCCCGGGCUCAACCUGGGAAUUGCAUCUGUGACUGCAUAGCUAGAGUACGGUAGAGGGGGAUGGAAUUCCGCGUGUAGCAGUGAAAUGCGUAGAUAUGCGGAGGAACACCGAUGGCGAAGGCAAUCCCCUGGACCUGUACUGACGCUCAUGCACGAAAGCGUGGG
rnacentral:rRNA from 1 species